UGGGGAAUAUUGCACAAUGGGCGCAAGCCUGAUGCAGCCAUGCCGCGUGUGUGAAGAAGGCCUUCGGGUUGUAAAGCACUUUCAGCGGGGAGGAAGGCGUUAAGGUUAAUAACCUUGGCGAUUGACGUUACCCGCAGAAGAAGCACCGGCUAACUCCGUGCCAGCAGCCGCGGUAAUACGGAGGGUGCAAGCGUUAAUCGGAAUUACUGGGCGUAAAGCGCACGCAGGCGGUCUGUCAAGUCGGAUGUGAAAUCCCCGGGCUCAACCUGGGAACUGCAUUCGAAACUGGCAGGCUAGAGACUUGUAGAGGGGGGUAGAAUUCCAGGUGUAGCGGUGAAAUGCGUAGAGAUCUGGAGGAAUACCGGUGGCGAAGGCGGCCCCCUGGACAAAGACUGACGCUCAGGUGCGAAAGCGUGGGGAGCAAACAGG
rnacentral:rRNA from 1 species